rnacentral:rRNA from 1 species
AUUGAACGCUGGCGGCAGGCCUAACACAUGCAAGUCGAGCGAGCGGCGGACGGGUGAGUAAUGUAUGGGGACUGCCCGAUAGAGGGGGAUAACUACUGGAAACGGUAGCUAAUACCGCAUACUAUCGGAUAACCCAUAUGGGAUUAGCUAGUAGGUGAGGUAAUGGCUCACCUAGGCGACGAUCCCUAGCUGGUCUGAGAGGAUGAUCAGCCAAACUGGGAAGUAGAACAGGCCCAGAACCCGACGGAGGCAGCAGUGGGGAAUAGUGCAAAAUGGGGGGAAGCCUGAUGCAGCCAUGCCGGGGGUAUGAAGAAGGGCCCAGGGGUGGAAAGGUAGUUCAGGUGGGAGGCGUUACCGACAGAAGAAGCACCGGCUAACUCCGUGCCAGCAGCCGCGGUAAUUC